AAAUUGAAGAGUUUGAUCAUGGCUCAGAUUGAACGCUGGCGGCAGGCCUAACACAUGCAAGUCGAACGGUAACAGGAAGCAGCUUGCUGCUUUGCUGACGAGUGGCGGACGGGUGAGUAAUGUCUGGGAAACUGCCUGAUGGAGGGGGAUAACUACUGGAAACGGUGGCUAAUACCGCAUAAUGUCGCAAGACCAA
rnacentral:rRNA from 4 species